UUUAUAAAGAGUUUGAUCCUGGCUCAGGACGAACGCUGGCGGCGCGCCUAACACAUGCAAGUCGAACGAGAGAGAGGAAGCUUACUUCCUCAAUCGAGUGGCGAACGGGUGAGUAACGCGUGAGGAACCUGCCUC
rnacentral:rRNA from 1 species